GCCAAGUGAAUUGUAGUCUAAAGCUUUUCCUUGAAUUCAAGGCUGUGUUUACUGCAGUCAGGGCGAGGGGAAGGAGGCAACCCCAAAGCCCUCCCUCCUCCUCUUCCCCCACCCUGCAAGCCCCAGGCUUGAAACUUGAUUUAAAAAAAAAAAUACAAGAUUGAAUUUCAGUUUGCAGGAUUAGGGAGAUGACUUUUAGGGGCUGCUUGUUGGAAAAAAAGGAAAGCAAAGCAGCUGGGAGGGAUUAGGCUGAGCUGGCGUCUGCACUUUCAACUGAUUCAAUUUUGCUCCACAAGACAUUGUAUCUGAGCCUUUCUGGAGACUAUUCAAAGCAAAUCAUUUUCAUUUUACCAUUUGGUGGUGUCGUGGGGAUCCCAAGGGAUGGGGAGUGAUGGGGGCACGGAGGUGCUUGGGGUGACCUGACCCUGCCACCCAGAGCACUUCAGCCGUGCUGCAAAAUAGAUGCAGCCCCAUUGUGAAGGGAAAAGUUCUGCUGCUAUUCCCAUUCCCAAGAUGAUGAGCCCCCAAAGAAACUAUGCUCCUUGGUAAAAUGGACUGCAAUGAGCCUGGGAUGUCAGGAUGCUCUCAGGAAUGACAGACAGGUAAGGCACAGAAAAACGUUUUGGUGUCCACUCACCUUUUUUUUAAGGUUUAUUUUCUUUUGCCUGAUUGUUGGGCAUCUGUCCUGAGCUCUGCUCCCCUCUGGGAACAAGGCUGCUCCCUCUGUUUCUCCAGGCAGGUGUCCACAUCUCCAUUUAGGUGCCAGGGCUGAUCUGGGGACGUGCUGAGGCGCCACAGUGUCCCCAGAGAGGGGGGUGGCCAUCCCAGCUGCAGCUCCUCUGCCCGGGGCUCAGCUCUGUCACCAGCUGUCCUGGCCCUGCUGCAUUUCCCAGCAAUGCUGGAGACUUAGACCACAAUAGAAGGAAAUCACUAAAGCUGAAUUGCUCCAAGUAAGUCCUCAGCAGGGUUUGACUGGUAAAUAUUUAACAAGGAGAACUCCCUAUCCUCUCCUGGUACGUAUUAAACUAAUACAUUUAUUUUAACAAGGGAAACGGUUUCCCCAAGCUCCUGCUCAAUUUGAGCCCUUGACUUCUACAAAAGCCUCCGUAAGGCUGGCUUCCUGGGGCUCAGUAAUUCACUGGGACUAAACGAGAGAUGGCUCUGAGCCAUGAACUUGGAGUCUGGAGGUGACAGGACCUCCCCAAGGUUGGGGAGAGCUCAGUAUUGGGGUUUCCAUUCCCACCUGCCUUCAGGCUGGUCCGACACCCACCUCAGGACAUCCCUGCCACCACCAGCUUCUGACCACUUCAGCCAUGCUGUGGAGCCAGAUUGACUGUAUCCCACCACAGUUUCCACAUGCUGGAAGCAGCUGUCAUGCCAAGUUCUCCCCACAGAAGCUUUGCAAAGCACCAGCUCCACCAGCACCCAUCCCACAUUUCCUGGAUCCCCAGUAAUUUCUGCUGCCUCUUCCCAUGCUCAGAUGGAGCCAGGUGCCAUGGACAUGAUGCUGGGAAAGUGAGCAGUUCACAUUCCUUGUCCCCCACCUGGUGAUGCUGAAGGUUUAUUUUCCCUUGGCUCUGCUCUUUCCUCCAUCUGUGAACCAGAGGGGGACUGGCACCCCCUGAGCAGAAGUGUUUCACUACCAGUGAUCCUCUGAGAUGCCCAAAGCCAUUUCUGCUCAGCAAACCCUGCUGAGCCAUCUCCUCGUGCUUUCUGACCUGAGCAGGACACACUCACAUGUGCAGCCCCACACACGGGAGCUUGGUUCUCCACAAGACCUUCCCACAGGACUGGGGACUGUGUCCCUUUGUGCUCCAAGCAGGAAGGUGGUUGCCCAGUGAAUGCUGCCUCUGCUAAACCUGCCCUGAACAGCUCACAGGACAUGUCCCUGGUGCCACAGCCCACCCAUGGGCACCCACAAACUGCAUGGCUGCUUCCCAUGGCAUUGCUGCUCCUGGGGCCCCCAGAGAUGGUCCAUCCCCUGCAGGCAGUGGAGGCUCCUGGUGUUACUGCCUGCCAUCCCAGCUGGCAGAGCCCAGUGCUGCCCUUGAGGGCUGCAGGCAGGCUCUGAGGCUGCUGGACUCUCUCUAGUACCCUCUAAUAUUUUACUAUACUAAAAUUUUAUACUAAUAGUUUUUCAGACUUUCCCUCAAGGAAAUAAGAAUCUCUGAAAGCAACUCCCAACUUUGCAUCUUUGCUCGGAGCCAUCCCAUGACUCCAGCACUUCCACUCUGACUCACGGGUAGAGGGCAGGUUUGAACAACUGUGGCUGCUUCUGCCAAGGCAAUAAUGACUCCUGGCAUCACAGCCCAAAAGUCUCUGGGAAACUUUCCCUGCUCAGCUUACCCUGGUUGCAGUGUGUGAGAUGAUGUGUGACAUUCCCAGGAGAGAUGCAGGGAAAGGGAGGAUGUGGGGCCUUGGUGCAUUGGGAAGAGCUCCCUGGUUCCAUGAACCAUCCCCUGCACACUUUGGCAUCUCUCCCCAUGCCUGAUGGGUAAGUAGUGCUGGGAGAUCCUUUCCGGUGAUGCUGUGAGCAUGAAAACAUCCAACAAAACUUGCUGUGGCCUGAGCACCUGACUUCUUUUCUCCUGCUGCUAUGAUCUGACACAUUUACCCUUCGUCACCACUAAAACAUGUCUCUAAGCAUCCCUUCCCCAAAUAUUCCACUCUGCCUUCAGUUCUUCCCAAUAUUUAACAAAUACCUCUCUUGAGAAGGGCUGAGGGGAGACAAGGAAUGUUUGCAAUGUUUACCUUACCCUCACAAGCAAACAUCAAGCCUGUCCCUCAUCCCAUCCCCACCUGUCCCAGCCCACAGUAGGCAGCAAGGUCUUUCCCACUGCCAACAAUAUCAGUAGGAAAAUCCUUUCCACUCCGCUUUUCUGGGAUUGUGAUUCCAGCAAGCCUUACAGCAGCUUGGCAGUACAGUAAAUAAGAAACAGAUUUCCAAAUGUUUUGAUUUACCAUCUUUUCUUUGUCGCAUCUAAGCCUGGGGGCUGAGGACCUGACUCCAGAAAGUCUCCAUCCAGAUCACCAACCUGCACCCAGAGGCAGUAACCCCACGGUGAGCCAGGACCUGGCAUGGGCUCAGCCUGCCUGGGGAUAUCCCAGAGGAGAGCCUGCCACGCAGAGCAGCAGCUCCUCAGGCCAGCAGAAAUCCACAUGUCUGUUCAGAAGUGCCAGUUCCAGUGCAAAAUGGAAAACUGGACAGAAAAUAAGCCUCUGGAGCACAUCCCAUGCUGAGGGUGGUAAGCCACGAAACAUUCACUGCAGUUGCUUCUGUGCUGGUCUGAGCUGUUGUGCUGUUCCUCUCACCAUUGUCCCCAGCUGCAUUUUCCCCACAUGCUCUUUUAUACCCAUGAAUAUUUCAAUGACAGUCUCAAAGCACUGGCACUGAUCCUCUUCCUAUGUUAGCAUCAGUGCAGGAUAACCUCAUCAGCUGGAACAGGCCCUGGUGCAUGGUCAUGCAAGAGGGGCAGGAAUGGCAGGAUUCAGGUACUGAUCCCUUUUAUAACAGAAAACCCAUUUUCUGGACUUUUCCAAAUCUGCUUUUAACUGGACUCUCCACUUGUUGAACUAGGGGAGGUCCCACUCAGUUCAAACCCUUCCCUAAAAUAUUCCUUGAGAUGGCUCCAGGUAACACAACUUUAUGUAUCAGAGCAUGAUGCUACCUGUGAGUGUCAUAUCAAGCACAGCAUCCAUCUGAAGAUUACCUCUUGUGCAGAGUGAGACUGGACUCCACUCCAUUGCACGGUUUUGGAACAAACUUUGAGUCCUUUCUCAAGUGGAAAAUCUCUGUGGGAUGCAGUUAUCUUGCAGAAUAAAGGCUGUUCUCCCUGUCUGAUUCACCCAGGUGAUGACUAAGGUCAUGAAGCAUUUCUCAAGCAAUAUGUUAUUCACAGAUCUUUCAUCCAACACCUUCUCCCUGCACAGGAAAAAAACAUACUCCAACCUAAUGAUCGCAGUGGGAAACCUCUUCUCUGUCCAUGUCUCACUGCCAGGGUCUGCAGCCUUGGAGAAAUAAGUCAUGACCCCUCAAGGAAGUCCUCUGGAGAAGACCAGUCACUGGGCUGCAUAUUAAACCUCCAAACUUUAUCCUCAUAAAUUAAUUUUUCUCUUUUUAAUACAAUAUUUCACACAUUGCAGGUUUGGUUUUUGAAUAUGUCAGAGCCAGUUAAUGGGCUCAGAUUAGUCCCAGCCUGGUUUCACCACAGCCAAAGUGGCAACAGUAAGAGAUGCAGCCUCCAACACCAACAUGCCUUUGAGCAGAGUCCUUCUGUCUGCUGGGAAGGAUGACUUGCAAAAUAGGCAGAUAAAGCGUGUGCUUAUGAAUUUCGUAAUGCUGGCACUCAGAUGCCACGGUGCAGGGUAAUCCCAUGGAUCAUGGAGGGAAUACUUUGAGGGCAGAGCUUCAAAGCUGUGUCUAGGUGCUGCAGGAACUGAUGCUGGCAUGGAUUAAUU